rnacentral:rRNA from 1 species
GAUGAACGCUGGCGGCGUGCCUAAUACAUGCCAGUCGAGCGAACGGACGAGAAGCUUGCUUCUCUGAUGUUAGCGGCGGACGGGUGAGUAACACGUGGAUAACCUACCUAUAAGACUGGGAUAACUUCGGGAAACCGGAGCUAAUACCGGAUGAUAUUUUGAACCGCAUGGUUCAAAAGUGAAAGACGGUCUUGCUGUCACUUAUAGAUGGAUCCGCGCUGCAUUAGCUAGUUGGUAAGGUAACGGCUUACCAAGGCAACGAUGCAUAGCCGACCUGAGAGGGUGAUCGGCCACACUGGACCUGAGACACGGUCCAGACUCCUACGGGAGGCAGCAGUAGGGAAUCUUCCGCAAUGGGCGAAAGCCUGACGGAGCAACGCCGCGUGAGUGAUGAAGGUCUGCGGAUCGUAAAACUCUGUUAUUAGGGAAGAACAGAUGUGUAAGUAACUGUGCACAUCUGGACGGUACCUAAUCAGAAAGCCACGGCUAACUACGU